AGCGAACGCUGGCGGCAGGCUUAACACAUGCAAGUCGAGCGGGCAUCUUCGGAUGUCAGCGGCAGACCGGUGAGCAACACGUUGGAACGUACCCUUCUGUUCGGAACAACACUGGGAAACUGGAGCUAAUACCGGAUACGCCCUUAUGGGGAAAGGUUUACGGCCGAGGGAUCGGGCCGCGUCUGAUUGGCUAGUUGGUGGGGUAACGGCCUACCAAGGCGAGGAUCAGUGGCUGGGCUGAGAGGAUGAUCAGCCACACUGGGACUGAGACACGGACCCGUCCCCGACGGGGGGGUGGAGAAGAGUAUAUUAGACGAUGGGCGCAAGUCUAGUAAAGCCGUGUGGCGGGAGUGAGGAAGGCGUUAGGAUUGUAAAGCCGUUUGGGCCGGGACGUGAGUGACGGUACUGGGUGAAGAAGCCCCGGCUAACUACGUG
rnacentral:rRNA from 1 species